ACUCUUGUGUGGUCAAUGGCCAUGGAAAAGUCACAGCAAUUGUUGAACAAAUAGCUAGUCCAUUAAUUCCAGGACAGCCACAGCACCACCCACUAACAGCCUGAGAUCCAGGACACCCUAGGAACCAAACCCCAUAGGGGCUUAUCUCUUUAUCCUCUGGCAAAUAGGGAAUGCCUAAACUUUUAUUACUAGCAAACAAGCUGGGAAAUAUUUGCUGCUCAUGACGAACUGGAAGAGGCUUCGGAAACACGGACAUUAUCCUCCAGCUGGGUUCCAUCAGAGCUGGCGUUCAGCUCAAGCUCAAAAUAGGCAGCAGGACUAGGAUCCACAUUUUGACUGCACUUCCCUGCGUCAACCGUUCAGGAACCCACAGAGGCUUCAAACGAUCCUGAGGAAAAACACAAACGGACCCUCUCGCCCACAUCAACACUGGAUCAGGACCAUGCCAUAUGCCCAUGAUCACAUCCUUCCAUUUCACAAAACCUUUUAAGGAUCCUCCACUGCGCUGAUGACGGUCAGCAGCAGAAAGGCCAUCCACAUCCAAAUUUAAAAAAUUUAAGGUGAAAAGAG